rnacentral:rRNA from 1 species
AGCAGCCGCGGUAAUUCCAGCUCCAAUAGCGUAUAUUAAAGUUGUUGCAGUUAAAAAGCUCGUAGUUGAAUUUCGGGAUCAGUAGGUUGGUCAUGCCUCUGGUAUGUACUGGCCUCACUGGUUCCUCCUUCCUGAUGAACUGUAAUGCCAUUAAUUUGGUGUUGCGGGGAGACUGGACUGUUACUUUGAAAAAAUUAGAGUGUUUAAAGCAGGCUUACGCUUGAAUACAUUAGCAUGGAAUAAUGAAAUAGGACGUUCGAUCCUAUUUUGUUGGUUUCUAGGAUUGACGUAAUGAUUAAUAGGGAUAGUUGGGGGCAUUAGUAUUCAAUUGUCAGAGGUGAAAUUCUUGGAUUUAUUGAAGACUAACUACUGCGAAAGCAUUUGCCAAGGAUGUUUUCAUUAAUCAAGAACGAAAGUUAGGGGAUCGAAGACGAUCAGAUACCGUCGUAGUCUUAACCAUAAACUAUGCCGACUAGGGAUCGGAUGAUGUUAAUUUUUUAAUGACUCAUUCGGCGCCUUACG